rnacentral:rRNA from 1 species
AGAGUUUGAUCCUGGCUCAGAACGAACGCUGGCGGCGUGCCUAACACAUGCAAGUCGAGCGCGAAAGGAGCAAUCCGAGUAGAGCGGCGCACGGGUGCGUAACACGUGGGUAAUCUGCCUCAGGGUUGAGGAUAACCUUCCGAAAGGUUGGCUAAUACUCGGUAAGCUUACGGUGACCUUGGUCAUUGUGAGAAAAGUAGACCUCUAUUUAUAAGUUUACGCCCAGAGAUGAGCCCGCGGCCCAUCAGCUAGUUGGCGGGGUAACGGCCCACCAAGGCAACGACGGGUAGCUGGUCUGAGAGGACGAUCAGCCACACUGGAACUGAGACACGGUCCAGACUCCUACGGGAGGCAGCAGUGGGGAAUUUUCCACAAUGGGCGAAAGCCUGAUGGAGCAACGCCGCGUGUGUGAUGAAGGUCUUCGGAUCGUAAAGCACUUUCGACCGGGACGAAAAACCUCUGGCUAACAUCCAGGGGCCUGACGGUACCGGGAGAAGAAGCACCGGCUAACUCUGUGCCAGCAGCCGCGGUAAUACAGAGGGUGCAAGCGUUGUUCGGAAUUACUGGGCGUAAAGAGUACGUAGGCGGCUAUUCAAGUCAGAGGUGAAAGCCCGGGGCUCAACCCCGGAACUGCCUUUGAAACUAGGUAGCUAGAAUCUUGGAGAGGUCAGUGGAAUUCCGAGUGUAGAGGUGAAAUUCGUAGAUAUUCGGAAGAACACCAGUGGCGAAGGCGACUGACUGGACAAGUAUUGACGCUGAGGUACGAAAGCGUGGGGAGCAAACAGGAUUAGAUACCCUGG